GACGUAGGGCGCGAGCGUUGUCCGGAUUUAUUGGGCGUAAAGAGCUCGUAGGCGGCUUGUCGGGUCGACUGUGAAAACCCGCGGCUCAACCGUGUGGUCUGCAGUCGAUACGGGCAGGCUAGAGGUUCGGUAGGGGAGACUGGAAUUCCUGGUGUAGCGGUGAAAUGCGCAGAUAUCAGGAGGAACACCGGUGGCGAAGGCGGGUCUCUGGGCCGAUAACUGACGCUG
rnacentral:rRNA from 1 species